AUGGGUCGCGCUGGGCCCCCCUUUGAGCCACGCCGCAGGCCGCAGGCAAGCAAGUCUGGGGACCCCCGUUCCCAGAACGCCGACACGGCUAGCCUGAGGAAAUGCCUCAACUCCCUUGUAGCUGUCACCGCUUGGAGCAUCUGGAGGCAUCGCAAUGCCUCUCUCUUCGAUGACCUCCGGCCUUCUACCGACGCCCUUGUCUGCACCAUCAAGGAGGAAGCCCGGCUUUGGUCCAGAGCCGGUGCCCUAGGCCUAGCAUCUAUUAUCCCUAUAACCUAG
rnacentral:rRNA from 1 species